UGAUGGGCUGCGAUCACAGUAGCUGGGAGCCACAGCUUCCCCCAUUAGCAGAUCCACGCACCGACCGGCAGUCAUCUCGCCACCUGCUGCCUCCCCGCACAGCAUCGCUCUUCAGUUCCAGUGGCUGUCGGUACUCUCCGCACCCCGGGUUGCUCACCGAGUGGUCCAGUCGACUCAGCUCCCAGUCGCCCGUACCGGCCGUAACGUCCACACUACUCCUUACACCUUCUGUUACCCUUCCUGAUUAAAAAUCUUUGUUUAUCUGAA